rnacentral:rRNA from 1 species
GACGAACGCUGGCGGCGUGCUUAACACAUGCAAGUCGAACGAUGAAGCCCAGCUUGCUGGGUGGAUUAGUGGCGAACGGGUGAGUAACACGUGAGUAACCUGCCCUGGACUCUGGGAUAACCCCGAGAAAUCGGAGCUAAUACCGGAUAGGACCUUUCCCCGCAUGGGGUUUGGUGGAAAGUUUUUCGGUUUGGGAUGGACUCGCGGCCUAUCAGCUUGUUGGUGAGGUAAUGGCUCACCAAGGCGUCGACGGGUAGCCGGCCUGAGAGGGUGACCGGCCACACUGGGACUGAGACACGGCCCAGACUCCUACGGGAGGCAGCAGUGGGGAAUAUUGCACAAUGGGCGCAAGCCUGAUGCAGCAACGCCGCGUGCGGGAUGACGGCCUUCGGGUUGUAAACCGCUUUUAGUAAGGAAGAAGGGGCUUCGGCCUUGACGGUACUUGCAGAAAAAGGACCGGCUAACUACGUGCCAGCCGCCGCGGUAAUAC